UGCCUAAUACAUGCAAGUCGAGCGAACGGACGAGAAGCUUGCUUCUCUGAUGUUAGCGGCGGACGGGUGAGUAACACGUGGAUAACCUACCUAUAAGACUGGGAUAACUUCGGGAAACCGGAGCUAAUACCGGAUAAUAUUUUGAACCGCAUGGUUCAAAAGUGAAAGACGGUCUUGCUGUCACUUAUAGAUGGAUCCGCGCUGCAUUAGCUAGUUGGUAAGGUAACGGCUUACCAAGGCAACGAUGCAUAGCCGACCUGAGAGGGUGAUCGGCCACACUGGAACUGAGACACGGUCCAGACUCCUACGGGAGGCAGCAGUAGGGAAUCUUCCGCAAUGGGCGAAAGCCUGACGGAGCAACGCCGCGUGAGUGAUGAAGGUCUUCGGAUCGUAAAACUCUGUUAUUAGGGAAGAACAUAUGUGUAAGUAACUGUGCACAUCUUGACGGUACCUAAUCAGAAAGCCACGGCUAACUACGUGCCAGCAGCCGCGGUAAUACGUAGGUGGCAAGCGUUAUCCGGAAUUAUUGGGCGUAAAGCGCGCGUAGGCGGUUUUUUAAGUCUGAUGUGAAAGCCCACGGCUCAACCGUGGAGGGUCAUUGGAAACUGGAAAACUUGAGUGCAGAAGAGGAAAGUGGAAUUCCAUGUGUAGCGGUGAAAUGCGCAGAGAUAUGGAGGAACACCAGUGGCGAAGGCGACUUUCUGGUCUGUAACUGACGCUGAUGUGCGAAAGCGUGGGGAUCAAACAGGAUUAGAUACCCUGGUAGUCCACGCCGUAAACGAUGAGUGCUAAGUGUUAGGGGGUUUCCGCCCCUUAGUGCUGCAGCUAACGCAUUAAGCACUCCGCCUGGGGAGUACGACCGCAAGGUUGAAACUCAAAGGAAUUGACGGGGACCCGCACAAGCGGUGGAGCAUGUGGUUUAAUUCGAAGCAACGCGAAGAACCUUACCAAAUCUUGACAUCCUUUGACAACUCUAGAGAUAGAGCCUUCCCCUUCGGGGGACAAAGUGACAGGUGGUGCAUGGUUGUCGUCAGCUCGUGUCGUGAGAUGUUGGGUUAAGUCCCGCAACGAGCGCAACCCUUAAGCUUAGUUGCCAUCAUUAAGUUGGGCACUCUAAGUUGACUGCCGGUGACAAACCGGAGGAAGGUGGGGAUGACGUCAAAUCAUCAUGCCCCUUAUGAUUUGGGCUACACACGUGCUACAAUGGACAAUACAAAGGGCAGCGAAACCGCGAGGUCAAGCAAAUCCCAUAAAGUUGUUCUCAGUUCGGAUUGUAGUCUGCAACUCGACUACAUGAAGCUGGAAUCGCUAGUAAUCGUAGAUCAGCAUGCUACGGUGAAUACGUUCCCGGGUCUUGUACACACCGCCCGUCACACCACGAGAGUUUGUAACACCCGAAGCCGGUGGAGUAACCUUUUAGGAGCUAGCCGUCGAAGGUGGGACAAAUGAUUGGGGUGAAGUCGUAACAAGGUAGCCGUAUCGGAAGGUGCGGCUGGAUCACCUCCUUUCU
rnacentral:rRNA from 1 species